UAGCAUAUCAAUAAGCGGAGGAAAAGAAACUAACAAGGAUUCCCCUAGUAACUGCGAGUGAAGCGGGAAAAGCUCAAAUUUAAAAUCUGAUGGCCCUUGGCCGUCCGAGUUGUAAUCUAGAGAAGCGUCUUCCGCGCUGGACCGUGCACAAGUCUCCUGGAAUGGAGCGUCAUAGAGGGUGAGAAUCCCGUCUUUGGCACGGAUGCACCAGGGCUUCUGUGAUGCGCUCUCGAAGAGUCGAGUUGUUUGGGAAUGCAGCUCAAAAUGGGUGGUGAACUCCAUCUAAAGCUAAAUAUUGGCGAGAGACCGAUAGCGAACAAGUACCGUGAGGGAAAGAUGAAAAGCACUUUGGAAAGAGAGUGAAACAGUACGUGAAAUUGUUGAAAGGGAAACGCUUGAAGUCAGUCGCGUCGACCGAGACUCAGCCUUGCCCUUGGCUUGGUGUACUUCUCGGCUGACGGGUCAGCAUCAAUUUUGCCCCUCGGAUAAUGGCAAGGGAAAGGUGGCACCCUUACGGGUGUGUUAUAGUCCCCUGUCGCAUGCGAGGGUCGGGAUUGAGGAACUCAGCAYGCGCCUCUCGGUGUCGGGGCCUUUGGCCCACGCUACGUGCUUAGGAUGCUGGCGUAAUGGCUUUAAACGACCCGUCUUGAAACACGGACCAAGGAGUCUAACAUGCGCGCGAGUGUUCGAGUGGAAAACUCGUACGCGUAAUGAAAGUAAAAGUUGAGAUCUUUGUCAUGAAGAGCAUCGACGCCCGGACCAGACCUUCUGUGACGGAUCUGCGGUAGAGCGUGCAUGUUGGGACCCGAAAGAUGGUGAACUAUGCCUGAAUAGGGUGAAGCCAGAGGAAACUCUGGUGGAGGCUCGUAGCGAUUCUGAC
rnacentral:rRNA from 1 species